UACGUAGGGAGCGAGCGUUGUCCGGAUUCAUUGGGCGUAAAGAGCUCGUAGGCGGCUUGGCAAGUCGGGUGUGAAAACUCCAGGCUCAACCUGGAGACACCACCCGAUACUGCCAUGGCUAGAGUCCGGUAGGGGACCACGGAAUUCCUGGUGUAGCGGUGAAAUGCGCAGAUAUCGAGGAGGAACACCGGUGGCGAAGGCGGUGGUCUGGGCCGGAACUGACGCUGAGGAGCGAAAGCGUGGGGAGCGAACAGG
rnacentral:rRNA from 1 species